CAGCUGAAACCGUAUUGCACCGGUGUCUAAUUCACUUGAGACCAGGAUUCUGCUGGUCUCUUGUCCUCAGUUGUUUUCCGUGACUUAGUUUUGAAUGUUUGUUUUUGCAGGGAGAAAUGAGAGUUGGUCUGAAAUAUUUUAAUGUUGUCUCUCUUUUAUUUCCCGAUUCCAGGCAAAAACAAUGCUGCUUGGAGCAGUGUCCGAAAACUGCUGGCCUCCGUUAACCUCCUCUUCAGUUCCCCCAGUGCCCCGUUACAGUAACUGCUUUGUGCAGCCUCAGGCCUGGACAAAGAGUGUCUCAAGACCUGCAUGCAUCGGGGGUUUCCAAGGCCUGCAAUGAUUUACAGUGAUGGGAACUUUGUAUAAAGCAGAAGUGGUCGCGCUCACACCAGCUGGCUGAGUUUUGGAGGCAGCUGCAUCACCUCUACUCUCAGACUUGGCUUGUGUUGCUCACCAGGGAUGUCUCUUGACAUCUAGAAGCCCCACGGCUGAGACUCAAGGAAAGUCGCCUAGGACACAUCUUCCAGGAAGGGGCCCUGGGCAGGAAGUGAUAGCAGUGGUGAGAGGUUUAGGAGGCCUGAUCCUGGAGCAGGACCCAGGAACUGAAUAGCUGGAUGGAAGUGCUGGUUACCAACAGUCAGCAGAUUUUACUGGGCCAUCCGAGGGCCGUGUCAGCGUUUACCGAGGCACAGCCAUGGGCAUUGCCAGGGGUGCCGCUCAGUGGGAAUCAGCCGUGGCCAUGGCAUUGUAUUGAUUUUACUCCCGGGAGUAUUCUUCUCUCUCACUGAUGCCAUGUCAUGAUGCCUUUCGCUGCGGACACUCAAGAAGAUCGUAGGGGCUGUACUCCGGCAGUUCCCACACCCUACUGGGAACAUGGACUGGGACCCACAGCCCCCCGCUCCCUCCUGCUAAGACGUGAGAACAGUAGCAUCUCAGCGACUGCUUGGUGGCAGAGCUCAGUGGGGAGAGGGCUCAGGGUUUGGUGCCUGCUUCUUCUUGGCAUCUUGGGAAACCUUCCCCAUUGCACAGGGUAUUGUGGGCAUUGCUUACCCCUACCCCUGGGGACAGAUCACACUGCUUGAGACUGGAUUUCCAACACGUGUCCAAGGCAGGCAGCAGCUGUCCAUGCUGUGGGAACAGCACCAGCCUGUGGGGCCCACCCUGUUUUGCUGGUGGAAGUUUCUGACUCUCGUGACUCUGCUGGUGUUAGUCAGGACCAACUUCUAGCCAGCUGGGCAGGAUGGACGGGUGAAGAAGACUCUGAUGGGCUGGUGCCCUGCAGGCCAGCAAGGCUGUGCUCAGACUAUUUGCUAAGGGGCUUAAUAAGCAAUUCCAGGUGCAUGGAGGUCUCUGUUUGCCCCUAUACAUCACCCAUUGGUUUUUCUCUUUAAAUCUACCACCUGGGAAGUUGCUGAGAGUUUUUCUGCUGCUUUUUGUGUUUCAGGACCUGGUCCAUAGGGCAUUGAGAGUGGAGGAAUGGAUGUGGGGGCUGCAGGGUGUAGGGAGGAGAGAGCAGCUGCGGAGAACGUGAAUCUGCAGGUGGUGCGGGCACCUGAAUCAGCACCUGAAUGCAACUCCCCCUGCUCCUGCUCGGCCCCCUCCCUCUCCUGCCCUCACCACCCUCCCUGCCUCUCCUUUCCGCCUACAUAGUAGGUUAGGUUAGGUUAUAUUGUAUUGUAUUUUAUCUCAUCUUCUAUUGAAUUGUAUUAUUUCAUAUUCAAUUCUACUGUCAUGCACUGCCUUGCAUUAUAUAUAAGCUGAUGGUUAUCUAUGUGCUGCUGUGCUUCUUUAGACAGAUGUAGCCAUUUGUUGUAGCCUGCCUGUAAAAUGAAACUGCUCUGACAUCCUUCUGGCAGAGCUAGGUACAAGCCAGCAGCUGUUCCAUCCUGCUCCCUCUGUGUGGAGCCAUGCACUGCAUGCGGAUAUGGCUGGGAUCCCCCCUGGUUUCCUGCCCCACCCCAUUGCUGUUGCACGGCUCCCUCAGACCUUGGCAUAUUCUGGAAGGCAGGAGGGGAAAUCCAUUGGGAGCGCACAGACCAGGGGCACAGUCUGCAACAGGGGAUGCAGCCCCCUGUUUUUCUUGCUUUGGGGUCCUGGAAGAGUCCCCGGAAGCUGCUAUCCUAUACAGGUGCACCGAUACAUCAGUCCCAUAUCAUAUCGGCUCUGAUAUAAGGAAAAUUGACAUUAUUGCCAAUCAGCUUUUUUUGGCUGAUGUGACUGAUAAUGUUGCUGAUACAUGCCCCAUGCAUGUGUGCAGCCACAGCAUGGAAAGCAGCAUCCAGCUGUGUUUCACCACAAGAGAUGACAGCUCAGAGACUACUUCUGUGCUGGCAGAAGAGGAGGGCAUGGAACAGGCUGCCCAGGGAAAUGAUGGCAUCUCCUUCAGAGAGGUUUUCAGGAGGGCCCUGGAGAAGGAUCUGAAACGGGCAGUACAAGAAGAACGCAUCCUGCACCUUGGCAUGUGGUGGCACCAUCGUGGUGUUUUGUGGCACUGAAAGAAAUGUGUGCUCAGAGCAAUCCUACCAUUAUGAGCAGGAGUCGAGCCUGGCAGCCCCUCCACUGCCCCUUCAGAUUUUAGAGGCAGCACCUGCCCGCUCUGGCACCACCAGUACCUGGAAGCAGACGGACCAGAGCAAAUGGAAACUGUCGACUCCCACCUGCAAGCAUCAGAAUCAAGACAAAAUGUGGUGUUUGGGACUCAGAGGGCGUUUGGGACUUACUCAGGACACGGGGCAGGAACCUGCUUCUUGCAGAAGUCAACCUGCCCUCUCCGCAGCGCUGCUUGGCUCUGGUGCAAGCAUGGAGCUGCCUAGAUGCAGAGCUGUCUGGACCAAGCCCUUCAUUUGGGCUCUGGCUGGUCAGUGCAUCCCACUCCAUAGCAGCUCGGCUUGGCUGUGGCCCCGGUACCUCUCCCCUGCUCAUCCUGUCAUGUGCUUGGGUUUCAGGUUCCUGCCCUUCGGCCAAACCUGGACUACAAACAUGGAUAUUGCUUUGGAGGAGGCAAGUGACUCUGACUCCCUGCUGACUCCUUUGGUGAAGCUCAGCCCCCUUACCUGGGCUCCCUGCAGCCUGGGCAGAGGUUUGUGCUCCCCCAGGCUAAGACUUGAGCACCAGAGAACUGGGCUGUAUGGAACCAGCACAGCAUGAGUGUCUGCACCAGCCCUGGCACCUCCACACCGGCACUGUCCCAGGCUGCUUCCAUCAUGGGCCCAACAAGCAUCUCUGCACAAUCCCCAGCUUGGGUCCGGAGAGCAGGACAUUCUGGGAGAUGCCCAAAGGCUGUCAGUGCCCUGGCAGAUCGCAGUGAAUCGCUGUUGGGCCGUUUCAGCUCCUCAUAUUCCACCUGCUCCCUGAGCUAAUCCGGCUGGAAAAGUCGCUUUAAGAGGGGACAUGACAGCAGUUUCCAAACACUUGAAGGGCUGCCAUACAGAAGAGAGAAAGUACCUCUUCUCUCUUGCUGCAGAGCAAAGGACACAGACCAAUGACUUGAAGUUGCAGCAACGUAGGUUUAAAUCAGAUAUCAGGAGAAACUUCACUGUUCGAACAGUGACACGGUGGGAUAAAAGAUGCCCAAGGAAGUUGUGGACUCUGCAUGGGCGACUGGUGCAGCCGACUGUGCCCCUCCUGUGACCAGCCCUGCUGACCGGGGAGGGAACCUCCUACGGCCAAUCUCACUUCCCGCAUGGACCCCUGUGGCUGAUCCCACGAUGGCCAAUCACUGUGGCUGAUUGCUACAUCAGCUUCCACGGGUGGCUGCAGUGAUCGGCCAGCGCUUGCAGGGGGGGCACUGAUGCCCUCGCCUGCCCCACCUGCCCAUUGCCGAAGCGGCGAGCACAGUUGGUCAGGGGUGCAUGUACACCCCUUUGCAUCCCCUAUGCAUUGCCACUGGGACUCUGCAUCACUGGAGGUGUUCAAGAAGAGGUUGGGCAGGCAUAGGUCAGAGAUGGUCCAGUUGUAGUUAUGAUUAUAUUGUAUUAAGGAUACUUCCCAGGCUUCUGGGCUUUGCUGGUUGUUGCACGGAGCCAGGAGGGACUUUUGAACUGUCCCUCCCCGACCCCAAUGCUGCUACGUACGUCAUAUUUUCUUUUAAGCCUUCCUCAGGCAUUGGGUGUUGGCUGCAGCUGAUGCUGGGGGAUGUGAUGGGGCUGUGCCAAUGCUGCUGCUGGUACUGAAAGCCAGAGGUUCCUGACUAGAGGAUCUUGCCCCUCCACUCAGGACAAUAUCCAUCACCACCUUUGGGGUCAGGAAUUUUGCCUCGCGGCGAGAUUGGUGCAGACUCGGGGAGGGGGGACGGGUGGCCUCUGCCUUGAAUCUCUUGAGUAAAUUUUAACAACUUUUGCAUCAGCAGGAAGUUGUUCAUAACCACGAAAGCUGCCAGUGUCCACUCCUGCGAGGCAUUGCACAGCAACCGAGCUUGUGAGAAAGCCACUAGCUAAAGCAGCUGCAAAUUCUGUCAAGGCGGAAACUUUGCCGGGACAGCGGGAAGAUGUUCAGAAUGAGAGUGCAGGAAGAAAAGCCUGCCUGGCUGGGAUGGGUUUUACCAACCGGGUUUAGAGAACGGCCCAAGAGGGAAAACUCAGUGAAAAUAAACUAUAAAGGUGCAGUAGCAGCAGGCUUCAUCAAGGGGAAAGGAUGAAGGUGCAAAUGAGAAAAGGCAUAAACAAAGUUGGGGACAAAGGAUGUGUGCAGUACUAGACUGCUCCCUUCACAGCCCGGCCAGACUGUCUGGUCAAAGGGGCAGGGAGCAAGACGAGGUAGCUAGUGCAUUUCUAGGCAUGGGAGUGUGCGGUGUCUGCUGAAUAAACCUACGUGAGUGGAAGGGAAACUCCUGUCUCUCAAGCUGUCUUUCUCCCAGUAACUCCUUGGUUCCCCAGUCCAAGGUGCUGGAGUAACCCCUCUGCUUUAGCAGUGGCCAGUUUGUGUGUUAUGUCCGGUGUUGUGUCAGGGUUGAGUGUAAUGUUGCUAAGAGGCCAGACAGCGGAUGUGCCUGGGAUGGUUUGGCCAGUGCUGGCUGCCUGGGGCUCUGUGUGUGGGCUGCCCAGGGGGGCUGCAGUGCUAGGGGAGCAGUGGGUGCUUAGCACAGCCAUUGCUUCAGGGGUAGUCACAGCCUAAAUGAGACCUGGGCUGAGCACUGAUCACGGCAGAUGACACAGUCUUGGAGCAGUGGGACUGGCAGGGACCUCCAGAGCUCACUUCUACUCCAGCCCCCGCCUGAGGCAGAACAGCCCUUUCCAAACCAUCCCAGACCAAUACUUUCCCCAUGAUGAUGGCUGCUGUUACUGCCCAUUUACAGAUUAUUUGCAUCACUGAGUUAUCACUGUUGGGUCUGUCUCUAAAACCCAGUUGGCAAAAUCCACCGGAGCCAGCAGACUUUUCUUAGCACGCUUUCUCUCUUUCUGAACAUCUUCUUCCGACCGUCCUUGGCAAUGUUUCUUCUUGGGCUUAACUUGCAGCUGCUUUGCUCAGCUCUAAGGAGGUAGUAGCUUUCUAGACAGCUUGGCUGCUAUUCAGCGCCGUGCAGGAGCAGUUUUGUGGUUAUAAAGGGACUCUGUGGUUCUGGCCGCAGCACGGCAGCCCAGGCACUGCCUGCAGCAAGUGGCACAGCCCACUUCUUCUUUUGGCUCACAGCUGGUCCCUCCCAGCUCCAAGCCCUGCUGUUCUUCUCUCUGGGAUAUUUUUAAGUUCCCCAUGAGCCACUCUCUUAGUAGCAGCUUCCCCACAGCUGCAGUAACUCCUCAGGCCUGUCUGCCCCUUCCUAAAGGGACAGACCACCCUGUUACACCCUCCCAUGGCUCACAGGUCAGUGCCCCCGGUCCAGCCUGCAGGAGUCUGCCUGCGCUCGCUCUGUACCAUGUCCAGGCUGCACCAUGCCUGAAUGCACUGAAGGCUCCCUGUUGUGUCCCCGUGAUGGUAUAAUGGGUCAUAUACCAGGCAAGGAGACUAAGACAUGGUUGUCCUAAGCUAAAAGCAAGUUUACUAAACUCUUACAGAUACAACUCUAAUUAGAAUUGAAGCACCAUUAGCAGUUAAACAUUUUAGGUUCGUAGCUAGUCAAAGCAUAUAUGCUCACCACCCUGUAAUGUUGAGAAUGCAACUUCACUGAUUGAUCAGGCCAUGAAGUCUUGUCCAGGGCUCCUGGGUCCCACAUCUGAUGUUGAGACAGGAUCUGGGAUCAGUGACAAGAUCUCUUCAGGAGUGUUGCAAAGGGCACACUCUCUCACCUCUCAUUAUAUGCCAUAUACCUUGCAUUUCUUAAUACAUGAAAUUAGCUUAAGCCUUCCUUCUAAUGCAUAUUAAAAACCCUUGCUUCUGUUUGCCAUAA